rnacentral:rRNA from 1 species
UACGAAGGGGGCAAGCGUUGUUCGGAAUUACUGGGCGUAAAGGGCGCGUAGGCGGCUUAUCAAGUCAGGCGUGAAAUUCCCGGGCUCAACCUGGGGGCUGCGCUUGAUACUGAUGAGCUUGAAUGCGGGAGAGGAUAGUGGAAUUCCCAGUGUAGAGGUGAAAUUCGUAGAUAUUGGGAGGAACACCGGUGGCGAAGGCGGCUAUCUGGCCCGUAAUUGACGCUGAGGCGCGAAAGCGUGGGGAGCAAACAGG